CUUGGGGCUGUAGCGCCGCCCCGCGCCGCCCCGCGUCGCCCCGCGCUCCGAAAGCGUUAGGCAAAGGUGGAGCUCCCUCUUUUUGAGGGGGCCCCCGAACGCCGGGGCCUGAAUGAACAUGGGCGCGCAGUCGCAGCUUCCUGAUAGUUGCGAGCGUCUGAACUUGCACUUGGGUGCCCGCAGCGCGUGCUCACCCGCGGCUCGGCUCUGCUGCAGCCCCCCCUUCUUCUGCUAGGCCUUUCCUAGCACUUCCGCGUCCUGGGCUCCUUUCCGUCUUAACUUUUCUUCUGUCCAGGGCCCUGCAACAACAGGUAUUUUGUGGUCCACUUGCAGGAACGUCAAGAGUUUAUUGUCUAAUAUCAAGUGCUGUGUUAAUCAGAAACACAGCCAUAAACAAGUCCUCAGCUUUCUCUUGCUGAUGUGAAUUAACCUCAAUUUUCCAUAAAAGGCAGUGGCUGAUGCUUGUUUCACUUAGAAAAAAAUGAAUUUCUCAAAGUGCUUUCUGGUUUGCAAAGUGCUUUUAUAUCCAUUAGGAUAAUUCUUUCAUUGCACACAGCACCAGAAAUUAAUUCAUUAAUGAAUUCAUAAAACAGUUCUGUGUGGUGGGUACCAUUUUUUUAAUUCAUAUUUUACAGAUGAGGAAGCAUUCUCCCAUUUUAUAGAUCAGAAACCGAUGUUUAGACAGUUAAGUGAUUUGCCAAAGGCCAUAGACCGAGUAAGUGGUUGAGCCGUAGUUUGAUUUCAAGUGGUCUGGGAGCUGUUACUAUUAACUGCUAUUCUGUUAUCCUGUAAAAAAGGAAGGAAGGAAGAAAGAGUCCUAGUGACACCUAUUUGUUUUGUAGUGUUAAAAAGAAUAUUAUAUUCCAAGGGGACAAUGUUAGUAUUUUUUUUCAGUCACAUUUUAAUAUAUGCAAAAUUAAGUAUUUCAACACCCAAAAGAUAUAAGCCAUUAGGGUUAAUAUUGUCAGCCAAUAAGCCAGUAUUCUGAAUAUAUUUUAUAUAAUAUUUUAUAAAUAAAUACAUGUUUAUAUAAAUAUAUAAAUGUUUAUAUAUAUUUGGUAGUACACAGCAGUUCCUUAUUAUAAUGUGUUAGGAUGUGCUAAGAAGCAGAUGCUAAAAUGGGAGUUGCUGUGCAGGAGAUUUUUGGGGAGAGGGAGCAGGAAAAGGCGGGGAGAGCCUUUAGGUUGUCAUAGAGGGCUGACACCCUUGGAAGGAGAGAUGGAAAGAAAGAGGGGAGGGUAGAAAGAGUCUCAAUAGAAGGGGGGGCGGUGCACAUCCCAGUAUCCACUAUCUGCCCUGAAGAAACUCACAGCCUCUACUGUGAAUUGUGGGAAAGGCAUUUAUUUAAAAAAAAUAUAUACAGACCUGUGCAAAGAUGCUAAGAAACCCUGAGGGGAGACUCUCAGUGGGCUAGUUGAGCGGGUGUGUGUUUAUGUGUAAGUGUGUGCAUGAUGAGGCAAGAGAGGGUUUCAGGAAAGUCUUCCUGAGGGGGAGGUGACACCUGUCUUAGACAAUUGAGUAGGCCUUAGGAGGGAGAGACAAUAAAAUCUCACUGCUGGCCUAAAGUCCUCUGACACUUUUCUGAUGAGUGGCAAGGGCUCUGUGACAUUUCAUCUCUUGUUAUCCAGUAUUAUUUAAUCACCUUUAUUAACUUUUCGUGCUUUUGUUUCCUGCCCCCUAACACCACUGUGAUGGUGCUCCAAGCAGGCACCGGGUCCUAUUUCUUUGUUUUUCCCACAGUGCAGAGAGCACAGUGUCUGUCCACCUGCAGACCAGGAGUGUGGGGUUUGGAGGCAUUGACUCCCUUCAACUCUCCUUUGUUUUUUUAAAAAAUAUUGGGGUUCCACAUCAUAUUUUGUUCACUACAACUCAGGUUUGAAACUCGGUGAUGUAGAGGAAAGAGCUUGGGGGAUAUAGAGCCCUGUAAUUGAUCAGAUUGGCCACGUGUUCCAUCCUUGGAGCAGGAUGCGGAGCCAGGCUCCUGGACUGAGCAUUUGAGGUGAAGAUGGAGCAAUUAGGAGAAAUACAUUUUGGCUGUUUUAUGAAAAUUUAUUAUAUGUACCUUUUGAAUGAAAGGAAACUCCCUGGAAGGAAUUCAUUGAGGUAAGUGCAGUUCAAAAUUUUUUACCCAAGGCUGGUUUGAUUCUGGAUAAUAUCUGAAUUUAGGUGCUAAUAGUUCAGGUUCAGGAAGGCUUAGGCCCCCUCUGUCAGCUGGUAGCAGGGACAGGAGCCCAGAUGGCCUCUGGAGGGGGACUUGGGGAGGUUUUGCUGGUCCUGUCCCUCCUUAUUCUUUCUAUCCAAGCCGUCAGGGCAUCAUUAUCCUGGUCCAGCACUCUCAGAUUCCAGCUUUCAGUGGUAUUUCCACUGUCCUCAUUGGUCAAGUUCUUCUGGGUCUACUGGAAAGCUCCCAUAAGUUAUUCCAAAGUGUUACUCUUUAUUUCUGUGCCCCAUUUCUCAGGUUAGGUACCUUAGUUAUAGCUAAAUUAUGUUAGCUCUGAAAGUAAUACAUACAGUCUAUAUUUGGUCAUGCAUGUAAAGGUGACCAAAGUAGGUAAAAAAAGCAAAACACAGAACCGUAUUCAAUUCUUCCAUCUGUAUUAAAAGAAGUAAAGGUGUUUGUAGGGAUAUACCUGUAUAUGCAAAUAAGUUAUCUAGAAGGUUAACAGUGAUGUUCAGAAUACUUAACAACUGGUUCAGCACUGGCAGACAGGGAUGGCUGCUGGCCUUCGAGCUGGAGGGAUGCUGGAGACCCCCUAGUAUCUAAGCUUUAACUCUUUAAUGAUUGAUUGAAAUUCUGGGCGGCCAGCACUCCACGGGCUCAAAACAGUGGCUAUUUACCAACCUGAAGGGAAAUAUUUAAAUAUUUUAACCACCUGUGGAUUAUACUAGUGUAUGCCAGCAGCUAUCAACUGUUUCUCCUAGGAAAGGGGAUUGAGGGAGGGAGGGACUUAAUUUUCAACAUGCCUUUUAGUACUGUUUGGAAUUUUUGUUUGUUUCUUCUUUCAAUUGAACCAUGUACUUGGGGAUAGAAUUUCAUUUUGUUCAGCUCAGAAGGUAAGUCUUUUCUUAGAAUUUGGUUCUGGACAUUUCUGUCUAGUCAUCUGACUCCAGUCUGUCUACAGCCUCGGGGCCAUCUUCAUUAGUUCCAUCGUGCGGGGAAACUCCUCCACCCAGAGCUUUGCAUAAGCCCCUCUGCUUGCCUGGCGGAACUCCCACCCCCAUCCCCAAAGUUGGUGUCUGAAUCUCCUUUUGUUACUUUUCUUGGACCUGCUAUCUCUCCACCUACCAGACCUCAGUCCCAUUACUAACUAGCGUAGGUAUCACUCUGCUUAAUCUUGUGACCAGGAAAUAAGCCCUUUUUUGUGUUCAUACAACUUGUGUGUGUGUAGAACCUGUGUUUAAUGAAGUUUUACCUAUGCAUCAGCACUGCUGGUAAUGAUUAUUAUCUUAGUGGUGAUAACUCGCAUUGCAUUGGCUGUGCCUCCACCUGCCUGUGGAGUGGACACCCCUCCCUCCAGGUCUCCCCCAGUGUUCCUGGGAGGCACGUGGUACCUCUGUUGUGCUCCCUCCCAUUGUUCCCUGGGAGACUUGCAGCUCCUUGUUGGUGUCCCCUGCCAUGAAGCCAUUGGGGGGCAGUGUCUCAUCUCAGCCACUGUCACAGCCACUGUCAGCCAAAGUUGCUCUCUCCUGGGGCCUAAAGACAUGGAGAGAAGCCCCUCCUCUUCCAUUUUACCACCGUUUUUCACCCAGGUCCCAAAGCGGCAUGACUUGUACCCAGUGUCUCACUGAGCCCCUUCCAUCUCUACCGGUAGGCUCUCCAUCCACAGGCUCAGACAUGAGUCUGCGGAGCUUAGGCAGGGAACCAAAGUUGGAGAGAAGAUUUUUUUUCUUUCCCAUGCCCCUUUCCGCACCCCAGGACUAUUCCUUCCUAUCCUUUCUCCACCCCCAAGGCGUCAUAAAAGCAUCUUUAAGCCAACCCUUCCCUUCAGUCUAAUCAGCUCCUAACCAGGUCCACUGCUCCCUUAGAUUUAUCAGAGUUGACUCUUAGUGGUGGGCACCGCUGGGCUCAAGCUGACAGCCUGACCACACACAUUCUAUUCACACUUAUCUCCCUGUGUGGUAGUUAACGGUUGGCCCCGUCAGACUGUGGGUUCCUCAAGUAUGAGUUUCUAACUGUGUGGUAGUCACCUUUGUCUCCCCGGCACCCAGGCCCUGCCUGUUUACACGGCAGACCUUGAAAAAUACUUUUGAAAGAAAAAUUGAACACGGUCAUUUAGCACAGAUACCCAAAAGAAAACAGCUCAUUCUUUACCAAAGGGAGACUCAGGCAACCCACCCAAACGGAGGAAAGCUAUUCUUAAAGGGUGUCCUCUAUCCUACAAAAGUAGCCCUUCAAAGCUCUUUAGGCUCCUUGCGUUCUCAGGUGGAGAAGAGCCAGGGUUAGAGCAGCACUUUCAGAGAGGCUUAAACUGAUGUUUUGUUUCCGUUUUAUUUUUUGCCUGCGCCCCGCAGCAUGUGGGCUCUUAAUUCCUCUACUGGACCACUAGGGAAGUCCUAAACUGAUCUUGUUUUAAGAGAAUAACAUGUUGAACAACUAUUUGACUAGUUACAUUUUAUCGUGUACUUGCCAAUCGAAAAAACAAAGACAAAAACAGAAAAGGGCACAGUAUGGCAAAACAUACUGAUCAGAAGGGGAAAAGCAGAUGAUACACAGGGACAGAACAUUUUAUUUGUAUCAUUCCUAGUUCAGAGAAAUAAGGUUAACUCAAUGCUCCUUCCCCUACAUGUUUAUAGCGGGAGGUGAAAGUGACAGACUGAGGCAUGGAUUUGUUAAUGCUGGGUAUCAGGUGUUUCUUCGCUUAUUAUUUAGUUGAAUAAGUCUGAUGUCAUGUGAUAGACCACUAAGCAUAAGCGAUUCUUCAACCAAGAAAGAGAAAGAAAUUGUAUAACUAUAUGAUUUGUUCUCUGAGAAGCAAAACCAUGAUUCACGGCAAAGGCAGACACUCCUCAACUGGUGUGUGAGACAAACAGAGGUAUUCAUUAUGUUUAUUAUGAUAAUAAUCAUUCUUAACACUUCCUUCAAGGUGUAGCAUUUGCAGAAAUUGGAAAAAAUAAGAAUAUUCCAGCAGGCUUACUGACACUCAGUGGUAAUAUCACAAAUAAUUACAGUCAUUGAAAUAAUUUCAGAGAUGAGAAUGAGAGUUUAGUUUGAGAGAGAGAAAAAGAGAGAGAGAGAGAGAGAGAGAGAUUUAUUUAACAAUCUGUUAACGAUCCCGCAGCUCGUAAGAAGUCUCUCUAAUUCCAAAGCAUGACCUCUUUCCUCUACACGGCAAUGCCUGCCCAAUGGGAGAAUGCUAUCAUGUAAAAUCUUCAGAUGAAAACCAUCACGUGAUCUUAAAAAUGGUAUUGUUUGGUGACAUGUUUUGGUUUCCCUGUUCUAUAUACAUAGAAAAACUUAGGUAGAGAGAAACAAAAUGACUUGCUAGGUGAUGAGGCAGGUUGGACUGAAGGAUAGUGGCUGGAAUGACCACGGUGCCAAGUGUUCUGUUCUCCAGCACCUUCUCUGUUUUCUACUCCACGUUCUAGAUAACUCAGAUGCUGGCUUAAAACCCAUUAGAAGAUCAACCAGUCUCCCAACCCACCCACCAACCAGUAAACCAGCCAGCAUUUGUCAAAGGCUCACUUUGUUGUUCUUGAAACAGUGUUUGUUUGGUGCUGUGGGAAAUGCUGAAGCAAGACCAGACAGGGUCCCUGCCACCCUGGUGCUUGUAAUCUACAUGGAGAGACAAGACGAAGCUACAUGACACAAUUACAGAAUCUGACAGAAUAUAAUAAAGUGCUAAAUUGUGUGGUGUAGGCAAUUAGAGAACAA